CACAACCCCCAGCCCCACACAAGGCCGAGGCCCCUCUCCCAGGGGAAUCUGUGGCACAGCCCGAGAGUCCCGCGAGGAGACGCAGCCCGAGGGGACGAUGAAGCGUCUGUGGCUGCUGUUGGUUCUGGUGCUGGCCGGGGCUGCCCUGGCUGGGCCCAUCCUGCAGCAGCCGCUGGGCAUGGAGGGUCCCGGCACGGUGGCAGCGCGUGAUGGGGCGUCACCCCAACGGCAGCCGCUGGGAGCGAGAGUGGAAAGGGCCGCACGGGGACGGAGAAACCGAACCACAAUUAGCUUGUGUCACCCAUCGAGACCUGGCUGCCUGACAGUAUUUGGCCACCGUAUUAAUAGGCACUAAGCUUGUUGCUGCUGGAACCAACCCCUCGAGCUGGGAGCAUUUCAGGCCUGCACGCCCCUGCCCCAGAUCACCAGAGCUGUGUGCGCCAGCCGCUCGGCUCCAAACGCCCCUUGCCAGGCGUCACAUGCUGCAAAGAGAACGUCUGAUGAUUCUCCCCUCACUGGUUUUACACCCUUGUAUCUCCCGUGACCUCACUGGAGUCACUCCUGAUUUACACCGGUGUGAAUCCGGCCCUAAAAAGCAUGAGCUUGCUGCUGUCUGUGGGGAACGGGAGCCCCUAGCCCGUCCCGAGCGCUGUGGGCAGAGGCCACGACUGGGCCCUGUCGGUCGUGGGAUUCUCAGUCCCUCUGUGCCGGGCGUUGCUGAGCCUGGAGCUUCCCGUGCGCUUUCCAUUUAUUCACUCGCAUCAAUAAAAGCAGGAACCUCUGA